UAAUACAGAGACCCCGAGCGUUGACCGGAUUUAUUGGGCGUAAAGCGUACGCAGGCUGUCUUGUAAGUCAUUUGUUAAACCUUCAGGCUCAACCUGGAGACUGCGGGUGAUACUGCAAGACUAGAGUAUGGGAGAGGUCGGCGGAAUGCCUAGUGUAGGGGUAAAAUCCGUUAAUAUUAGGUAGAACACCAAAUGUGAAAACAGCCGACUGGAACAUUACUGACGCUGAUGUACGAAAGCAUGGGUAGCGAAUGGG
rnacentral:rRNA from 1 species